ensembl:lncRNA
GAAUUAACUUCCUUUCCUACUGUUCCACUCUGUACAAAAGAAGUCCUUCCUUCAAAAGUCCUUGGAAUACAAUGCUGUGUUUUGUAAGCAGAGUCCAGAAAAGCACAAACACCUCUAACAAAAGAAUAGUAAAUAAUGGCUAUUUCUACUCUCAUUACCCUGGGCCGCACUUCCUCUGCUAUCAGGCACUGUGACAGCAGGGAGGCAGGCAUUCUCUUGUUACUUUAUGAUUCAGUAAGAAAAGGAUGAGGUUCCAGAAGUGAAGGAUGUAGAAGAGAUGACUUCAGUUGGUGCACAAGACAUUUAUUUCAAGUAGCCGUUUCAGGGCUAAGACUUUGCCCACCAUCUUCACCCCCUGCAGUACUCUGGUUUCUGAAACUUCAAGCCUGCUGAGCAAGCCUGUUAGAAGUGUGAAUGUCCUCCAAGAUAUGAUUGAAUGGGUCUCCCAUGCAGGAGAGAUAAGAGGCCUGGCUACAUCCACCUUAUCUGGAGGAAUAGGUCUUCUUCGCAAAAGAACUAAGGCUUCAUGCAGUAAGAUCUUGCAAAAUAAAACACAGAUUCACUAGAAGUGAGAGGCUGCUGGUUUUGAUGGAAAUAACAAGAAACCUGAAGUGAAGGGUUGGGAAAAUGGGAGAGGACCACACUGAGUAAACUUGGAACUAAAUUUGUAGUGACUAUUAGCUGUAAACAAGCAACUGGCUCCAGUCCCAUGCUGUCAGAAGUCUGUAGUAUGUUUUACCUUAGUCAGCAUAAAUCAGCCUGGUCAAGUUCAUUAAAAAUAGAUUUAAAGCCUAU